rnacentral:rRNA from 1 species
GACGAACGCUGGCGGCGUGCUUAACACAUGCAAGUCGAACGGCAACGCCCUGCUUUUGUGGUCUGCUCGAGUGGCGAACGGGUGAGUAACACGUGAGUAACCUGCCCUUCAUUUUGGGAUAACUUCAGGAACCUGGGGCUACUCCCGGAUCGGAGCCUCUGCUGCAUGGUGGGGGUUGGAUAUUUUGGGCGUUUGGGGAUGGACCCGCGUCUUACCGUCUUGUUGGGGGGGUUUGGGCUUACCCAGGCUUUGACGGGUCGUCGGCUUGGGAAGGGAACCAGCGACAAUGGGACUGAGGUACGGCCCAGACUCGUAUGGGAGGCAGCGGUGGGGAGUAUUACACAGUGAGCGGGAGCCUGAUGCAGCAACGCCGCGUGCGGGAUGACGGCCUUCGGGUUAUGAACCGCUUUCGCCUGUGACGAAGCGUGAGUGACGGUAAUGGGUGAAGAAGCACCGGCUAACUACGUG